AAUACGGGGGGGGCAAGCGUUGUUCGGAAUUACUGGGCGUAAAGGGCUCGUAGGCGGCCAACUAAGUCGGAUGUGAAAUCCCCAGGCUCAACUUGGGAACUGCAUCCGAUACUGGAUGGCUUGAAUUCGGGAGAGGGAUGCAGAAUUCCAGGUGUAGCGGUGAAAUGCGUAGAUAUCUGGAGGAAUACCGGUGGCGAAGGCGGCAUCCUGGACCGGCAUUGACGCUGAUGAGCGAAAGCUAGGGGAGCAAACG
rnacentral:rRNA from 1 species